UCUUUACACGUACAUUUAUAUAUAUUUCUUUCACCGGUAUAUUUUUAUAUAUUUGUAUAUAAUUUAUAUAUCCGGUUAGCUGUUGCGAUGUGUUUGUAAAGUGCGUGCCUAAAAUGUGUAUGUGUUAUGUGCACUACAUACAAAUUUCUUUCAUAAUAAUUAUUUAUAUUUUUUUAUUCGUUUGUUCUAUUUCGUCUCGUCCUCCAAGUAUUCAAAUCUACGAAUAUGUUUUAGCUUUCGCUAAAAUUGCAAUUUAAACAGCAAAUUCUAGCUGCUUUUUAAGCAUAACGAGUAUAUAGCACAAGAUACUGUCAUUUCUUCGUGACGAGUAUACUCGUCGAGAACAGCCAACUGGAUAUAACAGUAUAUUUUUUAUAUAUUUAAAUAUGAUUUGUAUAUAGUAAUAUAUUCUUUAUGUAUUCUUUCUUUUUUUAAUCGUAUUGUUGUUAUCAAACGAUGUUCGGAUUUAUCAAGUUACCUGAUAUCAAAUAAUCAAAUUGUAUCGAAAUUUGGCUUCAUUCGUACAUCUGGUAGAAAAUGGAUACUUACACGUACCAAUUACUACAGCAUGUAGAUUAGUGUGCAUACGUGGCUCAAAUUGGUUCGAAUGAAUGUAAUUUAGUAAUUUGUAACUUACCGUUGAAAGAAACAAACUUUGAACGUGAAAUUGUCAGAAGGAAACGUACUAAAUCCUCUUCACAUAAGAUCAUAAUUAUCGACUCUUUAGAAUUCAUAGAAAGGAUAAAAUCUUCCAACGAAACUGUUAUUUCGUUCUAUUUUUACCAACAGACAAUCUUCCUUUUCAAAAAUCGUCGCUGUAGAAAUUUGCCAAUAACUGAUAACUGCGGGUCAUUAAAAUCAAGGACAACGUUAAAGAUACUUCUAGUCGUUACUUGCAACGAUCCUAGGGAUAUUCAGAUCUCUGCCCAAAAGCUAUUUCAUUCUCGUGUAAAACCGGAAACGUCUGUUUUACAUACAAAAGAGCGAACGUAUCGGUGACCGUAAAAAAGCAUAGUAUAAUCACGCGACAAUUACCGGACAAAACAUCGGUGGUUGGCAAAUCACGCGGCCAGUUCCCAAGGCAGCCUAUCUCUGCUGGAUCAUCCUCGAGCAAAAGCCGGUUGCGUUUUGUUUGAGGAAGCCAUUCUCGACGUUUUCUGGCGCCAGAUGCUGUGUACAGGAUAUUAAAUAAUCGGAUAAAAAUGCUGAGAAAAUAUCGAUCACCCUGUACUCGGACCGACAACAUCUUAACGCGUCAUUUUCCCAGAAAUUCUUCAUCCAAUGACAAAUUACGUUACGUACGCUACAUCUUGUAAUUAUCGCAACCACAUCGAUUAUGAUCGAAACCAGCGUUCGUCGUUUGCACAGGGAAAUCGUUAAUGCGUUAAGAACAGCAAAGGAAGCUUGCUCGAUUUUUAUAGCGUAAUUCGUCGGCAAAAUCUUCGAUAAAAUCUUUGCAUGUGCCGUCGCUACCGCUUUAUCAUCUGGUUUCAAGUAACUUCACCGAUUUUAUCUUAUCGAUUCUAACUUGUUCGUUCGAAGGAAAAAUCGUUCAUCCAGCUUAUCGAGAUAUCGUAAUCGAGAAACUCCGCCAAAAAAAGAAGCUGUAUGUCUGUGCUAUGCGAUAUACGACGGCUGAGUAACUACGCGAUUUUCAUCUUACGGACGUUUUUCCAGAAAGCUGCUCGGUUACGAACGAUCUUGUACGCGGAGCGUUGCACCCAAUGAUCGAGCAGAAUCGAUAAAAACGAGGAUAGAGAAACUCGAAAGAUUGCCGCGAGCUGGAUGCUGCUAAUAGUCUGUAAUCUUCCGUAAUCGUUCAUCGAACGAGUUUUUCCCUUAAUCCGCCACCGUAACAGUGGCAGUUAAUAAGAACGUUGGAUCGUCGUUAGUGUCAUCAUAAUUAUUACGCCGGGAUAUUUGCCGUGUGCCUAUCAUCGAGUUUGAUAGAAUUUAUCGAGCCAGAGGUCUAUUAACGUAAACGGGAUGCAAUAUAUUUCACGUGGCAUCGCGAGGCUAAUCAACGACGUCCGUAUCCACUAUGCCGCACCACUGUUUACCCUUCUGGCUCUAAUUCACCUAUCGCGAAGCCUAUCGUCCUACCCAUUUAUCAAGAACUUGAAAACAUAUUACACGUGCGACAAUUGUAAAAUUCAAGAACACGCGGCUGACCUUCGCCGCUAAUUUACUUACGUUCGCCUCAUUACGUUCUAACGCGGAAUGCUUUUGAGAAAUAUGUCUUGGAAAUUGUCAAGUUACGAGACGCGAACGUAAGAAGAAUGACGACAAAGUAUGGCUAUAUUAAGCAUAUCGACGACUAAAUGCGUUUUACUAGAGAUUUUUAUAUUAACUUUUAGCGGCAAUUAUAUCGCAGUAAUAGUAGUUUAUGGAACAGAUCGAUGGAAUUUUCAUUGUUUAACGUGUCGAUUGCUACCGCGGCCGUUUCGUGACGCACGUUCUCUCGACUAAAUCUUUCAGAACCACUAACGUGUGAUAAAUUUCAGAGACUAAAAAAUUGUCGACGACGUGAGCGCUUUGGAUAACAUCGUCGGAGAAAAGCGCGUAAAUGCAACGUAAUAUUUUGCGGAAAUUAAACGUUAUAACGUAGCGUAUGUGAAUAUAUCACGGGCUUUUGGGACAAGAUGCAUGAAAUUCGUGUGGCAGUCGACGUGUUAAGUAGUCGGGCAAAGAUAAUAGACAAAAUAUCGGCAGAAUAUCCGUUCUAUCUUGAUAAUUAAAUUUGCAACACUUUCGAAAAUUCUUCGCUAAACGUACACGGUGGCAACCAACGAAGGUAUUUAAAAACUUUCAUGUUGUACCGAUAAAAUUUCACGUGGCGCGUCGACGAAAGAUAUCUUCGAAAUUAUAAAUUACGAAAUCUGAACGUAGAAAACGAUAAUUAUCGUAAUUAGAUUGGUAAAAUUUCGCGUGCAACGUUAACGAAAAAUAUCUGCAAAAUAAAUGAAUUGGAAAACGUGAACGUAGAAAACCGACAAGCCGUAAAUAACUUAAUAAAUCGAGAAUGGAUCGUGCUUUAUAAAAUUCUAUAUUACUUGGUAGAUGAAAAGGUAUUCGUUUCGUGGAGAAUUUCUACGGUUCAAUGGAAUUUUAAUCCUCCUAUUCUCUCGCAAUUCUUUCUUUAGAACAGAAAUUCUGUGCCAAGAUCGCUUUAAUCGAACGGCGUUCCUUUCUUUAAUUAGAAUAGUGGUAAGGUGUACUUGUCGGUAUUAAAACUCGAUACCUGCUCGUUGACUGGCUCGAGAGAUUGCCUGCUCGGCGAUUAAUUUCAAGAAGAGAUGGCAAAUGUUAAACAAGCGUGGCGAUUCACCUUGUGAAAUCUCGAAAGGUCGCCGUAGUGACGAAUUAAUCGGUGAUCGCGGAACGAGAGUUAAUCGCGGAAACUCUUAACGAUUUCUCAAGCUGUAUCGGAUUUCCCGUUUCCUGGACGAAAGACAAUCCAGACUGUGUGGGUGCUCGUGAUUUUCUCGAAAAUACUUCCGUCUCAUCAUGCGCAACGAAUUAAAAAUUUCAUGUUUUUUUUUCAUGAGGCGACGAAUAACACAACGCACAACGCGUAGAAGAAAAUUUCCAGAUUUUUUCGAUUCCAGAUAACGUUACGGUAUUUUCUGUUUAAUCGAAUGAAAAUAUUAUCGUAUUCGAGAUUUUUAACACGCCACUUGUUACGCGUAACAAAAAUAAAUUUUAUGCCAUCGACGAGUAAAAGAGAAUUUAAUUUCUCUCUUGUCCGAAACUAUACGUAACAACUGAAACCUAUGACAACAAUGAUUAUUACUGUAUCAAAGAUUUUUAGAAUUAUUAUUUUAUUCGGACGUGAUACGAUUAAGCUACUUGCUAGUAUUUACCAAGUGUGAAGAGAUGAGUAUUAUCUAAGAUGCUAGAAAACACGUAUUAAACUGAUAGAAACUAGUAAUCCAAUUAUUACUGCUCAACUAAUCCGUAUUUAUUCGCAUGGAUUAUACGCGCAACAGAUAUCUUGCGAUCGAUACGAUGUGCGAUAGAGAAACAUCAUUAAUCUGUCCAAAGUAUUUUAGAUAAGAAAAAAUUUAUAACUUUGCAACAUUAUACAUCUGGGAAAAUCCAUUAAGAAAUCUCUAUCUUUAGACCUAUUUAUCUAACCUGUUGUCUCGUUCAAUUAGUAUCUCUAUUAUUAUACAAUCCGAUGGCAGUGAGAAUCUUUUCUUGUUCUAAAUAAAAAAGAAUUUCUAUGUAAAAUGAUCUAAAAUAUUGCGCAUCCCUAUUUUCUCGUUCAAUUCGAAUCUCCGUUUAAAAGAUCACUCCUAGCGACAGGACGAAUUACGAGGAAUUGUUAAGAGAUUACUCGAAUUUCCAAGUCCAGUCUCUACAGGCGUUACGUUUCUAAAAAUCAGCAAUUCCAAUCACAGAUAUUUUAUAGAUAAUUAUAGACUUUUUAAUACGUUUUUAAGAUAUACAGUAUCAUUCAGCAAUCUGGAAUUAUUAAUUAAUUCUAUGUUAUACUAUAUUAAUCCUAUAAUUACCUAUCUAUAUUUUAACAGUUUUAUUAUCGACUCGAAAUUAAUCUAACAGACAUGCACGACAAUUUCCAAGAAGAAGAGUUUCCUCGAGAAGUUGACUUCCUUUAAACCCGCAACUUUUAUAAAGCACGCUAUAGUACUUUCAAAUUAAUAAUCAGAAACUCCUUGUUACAUCCUUGUGAUAUCUUUUUCCGUACAAGAUUUAGUUGUACUUCAGCGACAUGUACAUACUUCUAGCGUUAACCAGCCUCGUUAACAUAAUCAAUGUCUGCUGGAAAAAUAAUUCGGGCUCAUGCGAAAACCGGCGCGCCGUUUCUGAAGCGAGGAAAUCCUGCUGCUACGAUAAUCGUCGUGUGAAAAUUCGGAAAAAAAUUCCACGCUCGAGGUAGCCGCGAUCGAAAAUGAAAAUCUUCGCGAGGCCGAAGCUCGCAACUCGUCCGAUCUCGUUAGUUUAAUUAAAAGCUCGUUAUCGAAGCCGUGGACAGUGCGGUUGGACAGCUCGCAAUAAGAACUCGACCCGCAGUGUGCGUACACCCGAUGAUAUUAACGCGCUGGUUUUAAUCCGCGUCGGGAAACGCCUCGAAAAUUGUGUACCGGAAGCUGGCCAGCUUCGUCAUGUCGAGUCCGGCAAGAUCGAGCGUUUCUGUCGGAAGAAGAACGAGAUUCGUCGCGUCUCGCUCGAGCAAACGUCGCGAGAAACGAGACAGUUGGUUGGUUUUGUUCGAAGGAGGAAAAUUUCACGAAUGCAUUGCAUUAUGGGUGUUACAUGAAACGAAUUUUUAAAGGCUUAUCGCUGUACCGUAUCCGACUGCGAAUUUUUACGGACUUAUUGGAAAUGUGCGGAUGGAAAAUCGCGGAGAAUGCGCAUGGUAUUGUAUUAUAUUUAUUUAUUUCAGCUUGAUGAUAUGGAAAUUGGACUCAGUAUCGCAUAGUUUACGAACAUGAGAUAAAACACGAUCUACAGAUAAUUACGAUACCAUAAAAAUAUCAAUGCGUAUGAUAUACAAAUAUAUAUGUACAAUAUGCAAAAUAAGGUACUUGUAAUUUGUAGUAGACGAAAGAAAUUAAUACGUAGCUUCUAUUUCUUCGUAAAAAUCCGCAGUCUGGUUGUGAUUAUAUUUGAAAAUUUUGAAACAGAACCGAGUUUUCGAUAGAGGUUCCUAUUUAUUUAGCUUGUUAAAUUCGAAAUUUAAAAGAGGUGAUGUCGUUGCAGAACGAUAAAAUUUCAAAAUGUUUCAAGUAAAACACAUAACACGUUCGUAAAAGAUUUUUAUAGGUGCUUCCAGAUACUUUCGUGAAAUACUGCAUGUCUCUGUAGAGUACGUGUUAUUCUUUCAAUAAAACGACUUGGUCGAAUAUCUGAUAUAUAUCUCGAAAGAAAAAUAUCAAAUUGAAAGCUUAAAAUCGUGACCAUUUAGGCAAUUUCCUCGUCCGUUGCUUUUAUUGCUUCUGUUUUCUUUCCUAUUUCUAAUUGUAUUUGCCGAUUAAUGCUCGAUACUGUAUUGUAAAAUAACUUGAUUAAUUGAACCUAAUGGAUGUGUCGAAAGAAAAACGUGAAAUUGAAAAAAGAAAAAGAAUAACGCGGAUGCCGAUAUCUACAAGACUGAUUCGUUUCUUUUCUUUUCUUCUCAUUCUGAAAUUCUAUCUGUCGAUUGAUAGUCGCGACUGUCGUGUAUUACGUUGUAAGUAAUUAGUCAACUAUGAUGGAACCAACUAUCGAGUAGAACGAGAUUUUCCGUUUGAUUCGCGAAACCUGUUCGGAGACUCGAUUUGCAUGCAAUUAGUCGUCACCAGGAUGUUCUGGCAGCUUAAUGAAUAUUUUUCAGCGUUCAUUUAAAUUCAUGAAACGAAGUUCUGUAUCUGAUACCCUGUGAAUAUGUCGCGACUAAUUUGGAUAAACUACAUACGGUGACAUAAGGUGAAUUGCCGAUUCUGCCACCUUAAAUUAUUUGUAAACGAAUUGUAUUUAUUAUCUCCUUUGAGUUACUCAAUUAAUCAAAGGGUUUCACGUUGCGCUUACAAAACAACCCUCGUAUCUAUGUAGAAAUAUAAAUUAACAAAAAGAAAAAGAACUAACUGUUGGUGUUAUUUUUUUAUCCAACGAACCGUGUACACGUAAUUCGAAAUGAGUCAGAACCUCUACUGACUCAUUCCAUAUAGAAAAUUAAAUUCCGUUGUUUGCAGAAAAAAAAAGAAUAUUUGAAAUAUUUUAUGUAGUCGUGGGAUUAAUAUUUUUUGGUGGAGUUCGAUCGAAUAUUUCGCUGGCAAAGUUGGACAAACACACGUGAGGGCAUGCUUUCGAGCUGUCGUACUCCGGAAUUAGUACCGUUCUCAAUUGACGCCUACAAACGAUACGACCUCUUCUGCUAUGGGAUAGCACCAUUAUAAUGCGCACAGAAUAAAUUACUAACAGCUAAUGGCGAUUCGACGUUGCCGGUGUUGAUCGAGCCCUUCCGGUUCGUAUUUCUUACAACGACUACUGCCAAAUUAUUUUCAUGGAAGCUUCGAUUCGUACAAAAAUCGCAGGAGAAUCGAGGAAAAAAUUGGUAUAUUGAUCUGCAGAAAUAUUUUUACCAAUAAUAUCAUAAAUAAAAAUGAAAGAUACGAUUAAAUGUUAGAUAAAAACUGUACUCAAAUCAUAUUUAAGGUUAAUCUUUUUGCCAUUUUAUAUCUUUCGGAAUAUUUGUACGGAGGCAGAUGAAGCUGAUAAAUCAGCUAAAGAGAAAGAGAUAACUCGAUCUGAUUUGAAAAUAAAUCCGAAUCGUGAUUGAUAUCUUGGCAAACAUACGAGGACGAAACUUCGGGUGCUCUCUAAAUUAUGUAAAUUAGUUCCAUUGUUUUUAUAUCAUACGCCAGAAAUUCUGACCAAUAAUUUUCUCGGUUCUCACGACAUUUCCCUUAUCAGUGCCAAUAAAACGUCAUUGAUAUUGGAUUUUAAUUAACCUAGAUACCAUCCGAAUUUCUUUCUUAUGUAAUACUCGCGCAUGUAUGUAUAUUAUUUUCCUAUUUUAAAUCUCAAUUCGACGUAUUAAUGAAAUUUUCUUUGUUCCUAUUUAUCGUUCAUUUAUUGUUUCUGCAUUGCACAAAGAGAAGAACAAAUCUCAAAGGCCAAACCGAUCAACUCCAUUUCUUGUGAAUAUCUCAAUUUUAUUAUUCGACGAUAAAUGUAAUUAGUGUGCAAUAUCUCAAAACACAUGCGACUUAUUUUCCCAAUUUUAUUUAUCACCAAAAGAUAGCAUAAAUAAUCAGCAAAUUCGAAAGAAAAUUUUCAAAAAUAAUUCCUCUCUACGUUUCAAUUCAUUCUAAAUUCCUCGAGGAUAGUUGAUAUUAGUUAAAAAGAUAAGCAUGCCCAAGUGUCCACCAAAAUAUUAACAGCGAUGAAAUCAGCUGCAAUGUGAUUAAAUGUCUAACCACAUUAUUGAUGAAAUAUUUAACCAAAUCUAAGUACACUAUACACGUUAAAUACAAUCUAAAUAACUAUU